UACGUAGGGUGCGAGCGUUAAUCGGAAUUACUGGGCGUAAAGCGUGCGCAGGCGGUUGGUUAAGUCUGAUGUGAAAGCCCCGGGCUCAACCUGGGAAUGGCAUUGGAAACUGGUCAGCUGGAGUGUGGCAGAGGGGGGUGGAAUUCCGCGUGUAGCAGUGAAAUGCGUAGAGAUGCGGAGGAACACCGAUGGCGAAGGCAGCCCCCUGGGCCGACACUGACGCUCAGGCACGAAAGCGUGGGGAGCAAACAGG
rnacentral:rRNA from 1 species